CACGGAGUUAGCCGGUGCUUAUUCGUUAGGUACCGUCAUUGUUCUUCCCUAACAAAAGGAGUUUACGCUCCGAAAAGUGUCAUCCUCCACGCGGCGUUGCUGCUUCAGGGUUUCCCCCAUUGAGCAAUAUUCCCUACUGCUGCCUCCCGUAGGAGUCUGGACCGUGUCUCAGUUCCAGUGUGACUGAUCAUCCUCUCAGACCAGUUAUGCGUCAUAGCCUUGGUGAGCCAUUACCUCACCAACUAGCUGAUACAAUAUAGCCUCAUCCUACACCGAAAAACUUUCCCUAUCUAACUUAUGCUAGAGAGGAGUAUAGAGUAUUAGCAGUCGUUUCCAACUGUUGUCCUCUAGUGUAGGGCAGAUUAGCUAUACAUUACUCACCCGUGCGCCACUAACUCAUAAGAGCAAGCUCUUACUCGUCCGUUCGACUUGCAUGUAUUAGGCACGCCGCCAGCGUUCACUCUGAGCCAGGAUCAAACUCU
rnacentral:rRNA from 1 species